rnacentral:rRNA from 1 species
GACGAACGCUGGCGGCGUGCCUAAUACAUGCAAGUAGAACGCUGAAGGAGGAGCUUGCUUCUCUGGAUGAGUUGCGAACGGGUGAGUAACGCGUAGGUAACCUGCCUGGUAGCGGGGGAUAACUAUUGGAAACGAUAGCUAAUACCGCAUAAGAGUAGAUGUUGCAUGACAUUUGCUUAAAAGGUGCAAUUGCAUCACUACCAGAUGGACCUGCGUUGUAUUAGCUAGUUGGUGAGGUAACGGCUCACCAAGGCGACGAUACAUAGCCGACCUGAGAGGGUGAUCGGCCACACUGGGACUGAGACACGGCCCAGACUCCUACGGGAGGCAGCAGUAGGGAAUCUUCGGAAAUGGACGGAAGUCUGACCGAGCAACGCCGCGUGAGGGAAGAAGGGUGUCGGAUCGUAAAGCUCUGUUGUAAGAGAAGAACGAGUGUGAGAGUGGAAAGUUCACACUGUGACGGUAUCUGACCAGAAAGGGACGGCUAACUACGUG